GACGAACCUUGCAAACGUUAUUCGGAAUCACUGGGCUUAAAGGGUGCGUAGGCUGUGCAGAAAGUUGGGUGUGAAAUACCUCGGCUUAACCGAGGGAUUGCGCCCAAAACUACUGUGCUCGAGGAAGAUAGAGGUGAGCGGAACUUAGGGUGGAGCGGUGAAAUGCGUUGAUAUCCUAAGGAACACCGGUGGCGAAAGCGGCUCACUGGAUCUUAUCUGACGCUGAGGCACGAAAGCCAGGGUAGCAAACGGG
rnacentral:rRNA from 1 species